GCCCGUGUAGCGCAGUGGACAGCGCAUCUGCUUCCUAAGCAGAGGGUCCAGGGUUCGAGUCCCUGCUCGGGUG